rnacentral:rRNA from 1 species
AAAUUGAAGAGUUUGAUCAUGGCUCAGAUUGAACGCUGGCGGCAGGCCUAACACAUGCAAGUCGAACGGUAACAGGAAACAGCUUGCUGUUUCGCUGACGAGUGGCGGACGGGUGAGUAAUGUCUGGGAAACUGCCUGAUGGAGGGGGAUAACUACUGGAAACGGUAGCUAAUACCGCAUAAUGUCGCAAGACUAAAGAGGGGGACCUUCGGGCCUCUUGCCAUCGGAUGUGCCCAGAUGGGAUUAGCUAGUAGGUGGGGUAACGGCUCAC